UCAAAAAUAAUUCUUCUGGCCCAACUUAAACUAAAAGGGGUGGCCCACGAGCAAUUAAAAUAGAAACAAAAGGAAGGAGGCCCAGCACUACUCAUCCUCACCCCUCUUUUCUCUCUCAAUUUCAAAUCAAAGAAAUCCCUAAUUCCCCAAUUCUCUCCUUCUCCUUCCCCUUCCCGUCGGCGCAUCUCACAGCGCCGUCCAUUAAAUCGCCGGUGUUCUUCUCUUGGCGAAAUCUCAGAGGGCAGCUGCUGCCCUACUCUCCGCGAGGCAGGCGUCGCCUCCUUCCACGCCUCACAUCUCUGUUUAACAGCUGGGUCGCUGUGCGGCCCGCGACAACCUGUGGUCAUCGCACCGCCUGCCCGCCGCCUCUCCGUGACAGCACAGCACCAUCUCCGUCAUUUCUCCGGUGUUAAGGCAGUUGCGGCGUCAGUUACCUCAGUGAGCCGGAGCCGCCGAGUCCUGCCUCUUCAUCGGCGCCCCGCCGUCGGACGUUUGCUCAUUAAGCUAAGCCUCUUUCGUUCCUCUCAUCUAGUUCGUUUGGUUAGGUGUAUAUUGGGCGAAGCUUAGUGUUUGGAAACUUGUAUGUAAUUGAUGUUGGAGAUUUUGGCAGAGGUGUUUCAAAGUUUUUUUUUGGUUAUGUUUAGUUUACUGGAAAGAGUUCCGAUUGAGAAGAAAGGUUCUAACUUGCAUAAAUUUAGUAUACACUUUCUUUGGAGUUCCCCUUUUGUGGAAGCUAUUUACGGUUUUAAAAUCCUAACAUGCUGUGCCUAUUUGUUUUCAUGUGUUCAUGCUUUCAUGGUCCUAUCAUGUGGAGGAAAGAGUGUUACCUCUGUAAUGUAGUUACCGUCCUGAAUUUUCUGCCCCUAGAACUCAAACCCUCUUGCUCUCAAGCUCACUAUGCUGCUGGAAAAACUUGAUGCAUAUGAAGGGGGGUUUUAUAGGCAACCUUGGUGCAAAUUAAAUGAAAGCUGAUCCCCCUUUGUUUUCAUGUCAAAACCUAUCUCUCUUUUGUGAUUUUGUAGUACUUUACACUUGAUGCAAUUUGGUCUUUAGCUUGGGAUUACAAGGCUCCUCAUUAACUCAUUUUGGUUGAUUGUGUGACUAAGAAGAGGCUGAUACGCAGGGCUGUUGUGGAGGAGAGCUGGCAGGUUUGACUUGCCUCCUUUGGUGGAGCAAGACUUGGGCUGCCAAGCUGCUGCUCGCGACGUGCUUGCUGCCCCGGGCCCUUGGGCUUGCUACUGGGCCCACCGGCUGAUCGGAUAGGGCCGUGGUGGGGAUGCGGUUUUGGCUCGAGAGGAAGAGGCCCAAAGUGUAGCAAAAGAAAAGAUUUUAGUUUCUUAGCAUUUUGGCUCUUUCAUGAAUAUUUGUAAAGUUUCCUAUAUUUUUACUUCCAUUCAUGUAAGAUGAUCAUGUAAAUGAAAGUAUUAUUUGAGGUGUAUGCGAACACUUUAUUCGGGGAAUAACUUCGUACCCUUGUACCACGUUCAUUUUAUUUUACAAUAUACAUUAGCUUGUUUUAGUUCA